rnacentral:rRNA from 1 species
UUUGGAUUUAGAUGGAAAGUUGGCAAUGGGGAGAGGGUCAGAUUUUGGGAAGACACCUGGUUCGGGACUUCGCCACUAGCUACCCAAUUCUAGCCUGUCUACCUGGUCUGUAAUGAGCAGACUAAAACUAUCAAAGAAGUCUGGGAUGGGGAAACCCUA